CCAUUACCGGAAUCUGACACUUGGCAUCGAUUGAUUGACCUAUCAUUACUUGCCCACUCAUUGGAACUUUAUUAUGAUAAUAACGUGUCGUCAGUUGCUAUUGCUACUUGCAUAACCUCUCGGUGCAGUAACGAUCUGUUGGAUCUAGUAUGUAGUAAUUUACAUAUCCUUACUGCGGUUUGUUUACUCCCCAAAAGUUCAAACUUUUGAUGCCCCUUAUUAAAUCCGGUGAUAUAUAUUUGUAUUGUAUUGUAAAGUAAAAAUGUUUCAAUCAGUUCAAUUGAAACUAAACUUUUAUGAGGUAAAGUCGCGAGAAUGAACUUUGCGUUUCGCUAAUUGGUAAAAUUGCCGUCGGGGCAUCAUACUUUCAAUAUUGAUCUUUAGAGAUGCGGUCGUUAAAUUUUAUCUUUUAAAAAUCUUUCAUGAUAUGUUAUAUUAUGUUAUUGCUCAAUUGGCUUCGGCUAUAACUGAUAAUAUCGUAAUAUAAUAUAAGACAGUUGAGAGAUCACGAUAGAAGUCAUUACGGUACUUGGUCAAUCGAUAGCAUUUCAAAUGCCUUGGCAUAUUGGUUAAUUACCUCUUUUUGUUAGUUCUUCCGAGGUGUUGUUACGAUCUAAAUAUCAAGGCUUGAGUUAAAAUUACUAAAAAGCAGGACAAAGAUCCUCUCCUGACACAUGUUAAAGAUAAACGUUGUCUAAAUCUAGACCAGUGUGACUUUAAAUGCAGCUCUCGGCUUUCAUUCUCGGAUAAGAAGUGAAAUAUUCAAAAAUACCAGUACUUUAGACAUUCUAAGUCUCAGCUCGAUUCUUGAGUGUCACAUGCGCCAGAUAAGAGGGGAAAGUAAGGAGGGAUUACAAAUGUUCACGUGAAUCUCUCUACAUGGCUCUGCUCAGAAAGUACCAAGACAGAAGACAAUUUAUCGUUGAUAUUACCUCGAUAUUUUCAUAUUACAUUCUGCAAAAUAAAACAGCUACAAUUAUCCCUUGUCACGCUAGGUACAAUAACCUUUUAAAAUUCCUAUGUCUUAUUAUAUGUAUCAUAAUCACAAAGAAUAAAUGAAAAGUGACACGAUGAGGAAAUGA